rnacentral:rRNA from 1 species
AUUGAACGCUGGCGGCAGGCCUAACACAUGCAAGUCGAACGGUAGCACAGAGAGCUUGCUCUCGGGUGACGAGUGGCGGACGGGUGAGUAAUGUCUGGGAAACUGCCCGAUGGAGGGGGAUAACUACUGGAAACGGUAGCUAAUACCGCAUAACGUCGCAAGACCAAAGUGGGGGACCUUCGGGCCUCACACCAUCGGAUGUGCCCAGAUGGGAUUAGCUAGUAGGUGGGGUAAUGGCUCACCUAGGCGACGAUCCCUAGCUGGUCUGAGAGGAUGACCAGCCACACUGGAACUGGGACAAGGUCCAGACUCCUACGGGAGACAGCGGUGGGGAAUAUUGCACAAUGGGCGCAAGCCUGAUGCAGCCAUGCCGCGUGUAUGAAGAAGGCCUUCGGGUUGUAAAGUACUUUCAGCGGGGAGGAAGGCGGUGAAGUUAAUAGCUUCACCGAUUGACGUUACACGCAGAAGAAGCACCGGCUAACUCCGUGCCAGCAGCCGCCGUAA